rnacentral:rRNA from 1 species
CAAUAGCGUAUAUUAAAGUUGUUGCAGUUAAAAAGCUCGUAGUUGGAUUUCGGGACGGGCCAGUCGGUCCACCGCAAGGUGUGUCACUGACUGGUCUGUUCUUCUUCGCAAAGACUGCAUGUGCACUUCACUGUGUGGGUGUAGGAUUUACGACGUUUACUUUGAAAAAAUUAGAGUGUUCAAAGCAGGCUAUCGCUUGAAUACAUGAGCAUGGAAUAAUGGAAUAGGACUUUGGUCCUAUUUUGUUGGUUUCUAGGACCGAAGUAAUGAUUAAGAGGGACAAUUGGGGGCAUCCGUAUUUCGUUGUCAGAGGUGAAAUUCUUGGAUUUACGAAAGACGAACAACUGCGAAAGCAUUUGCCAAGAGUGUUUUCAUUAAUCAAGAACGAAAGUUAGAGGAU